rnacentral:rRNA from 1 species
GGGUCAGUAGGUUGGUCGUGCCACCGGUACGUACUGGUCUCACUGAUUCCUCCUUCCUGAAGAACCGUAAUGCCAUUAAUUUGGUGUUGCGGGGAAACAGGACUGUUACUUUGAAAAAAUUAGAGUGUUUAAAGCAAGCUAACGCUUGAAUACAUUAGCAUGGAAUAAUGAAAUAGGGCGAUCGAUCCUAUUAUGUUGGUUUCUAGGAUUGACGUA